GCUGGGCGUGGUGGCUCACGCCUGUAAUCCUAGGACUUUGGGAGGCUGAAGUGGGUGGAUCACCUGAGGUCAGGAGUUCGAGACCAGCCUGGCCAUCAUGGUGAAACCCCAUCUUUUUUCUUUUUAAAAAUAAAUUAAAAAAAAAAAAAAAAAGGGGGGGGUUUCACCAUGUUGGCCAGGCUGGUCUCCAACUCCUGACCUCAAGUGAUCUGCCUGCCUCAGU
rnacentral:SRP_RNA from 1 species